rnacentral:lncRNA from 1 species
CCAGGCUGGUUUUAUACCUUUUUUCAUGUAAUCUCUGUGUUGGGUAUCUUCUGUCUGCCCCUCCAGAUUGGCUCUCCACUCAACCCCUAGAAGCUGAGCCUUUGAGACAGCAUCAGCAAGCUCCUUCCUCCUCUGGCUUCCCCUGGCACCAGCAGGAGGUGACAGGCCGCAGAUUGCACUGCCCAAGAAGGAGCCGGCUUGAAGAGCAAGCAAGUUGGGCACCUGAGAUGAGAUCCAGCACUAGGCGUAGAAAAUGAACUCUGCUUGUGCCCCAUGCCCUAGACCAUGGCAUGGCCAGGGUCUGUCCCCAUGUCUGUGUUUCCUAAAGUUGGUGUGCACCCUCCUCAUUAUUCAGCUGUCAUUGCAUUUGCCUGGGAAGACUUCACUUGCAGAGCCCAGAGCAGCCAGCUUAAUAGCUCCUGUGGUGGUUUUUAAAAUAUGUCCACAUGUCCUUGGAGAUGCUUUACAUCAAUUAGUGGAGUCUAAGGCCAGGCGCUGUGGCUCACAUCUGAAAUCCCAGCACUUUGGGAGGCUGAGGUGGGCGGAUCACCUGAGGUUAGGAGUUCGAGACCAACCUGGCCAACAUGGUAAAACCCUGUCUCUACUAAAAAUACAAAAAUUAGCCAGGUGUGGUGGUGGGUGCCUGUAAUCCCAGCUACUCGGGUGGCCAAGGCAGGAGAAUUGCUUGAACCUGGGAGGCAGAGGUUGCAGUGAGCUCAGAUCGUGCCAUUGCAUUCCAGCCUGGGUGACAAGAGUGAAACUCCAUCUCAAAAAAAAGAAAAAGAAAAAAAGAAUGGAGUCCAAUUUCCCUUCCCUUGAAUAUGGGCUGCUUCUAGUAAUUAGCUUUUAAUAAAUGGGAUACAGAGGAACUGACGCAACAUGACUUCUGAGGCCAGGUUAUAAGAGCAGAUCAGCUGCCACCCAGGCUUUCUCUCCUUGGGACACUCAUACAUAGAUCCAGGUGCUGUGAUGCAAGGAAACCUAGGCCACACAGAGAGAGGCAUAUAUAGGUGAUCUAGCUGAAACCCCAGCUGUGAGGAAGCCUGCAGGCCCCAACCGUGGCUUGACUACAACUGCCUGAAAGAUCCCAGCAAGAAUUGCCUCGCUGAGUCCAGUCAACUGCAGGAACAGAGUGAGCUAGCUGACAUGCUGGACAGCUCCAGAUGGCAAGAAAUUGAGGUUGAUCCCUGCCAACAGUUUGUAAGAAACUGAAUCCCGUCAACAAGCAGACUUGAAAUAAUCUCAGAUUCCCCCCGCCUCCCAACCAAGAAGCAUCUGAGAGUAAGUUGCUGUUGUGAUUAUCCCCUAAUACUUUAGUGCAACCUUUCUCAACCAGGGUUCCUCAUGUGAAUGACAGAAUGAAAAUGAUUUGAAUUAAAAAAAAAAAAAUCACCUCACCAGGAACUGAAUUAGCCAGAACCUUGAUCUUGGACUUCCCAGCCUCCAGAACUCUGAGAGUUAAAUUUCUGUUGUUUAAGCCACCCAAUCUAUCAUAUUUU